UCAGUGCAGAAGCUGAUGGAUAACCUGAAUUCUCCUCAGCAGAUAUCAUUGGUGGUGGCUUCUUUGACCCCUGGUGCUGUGGUCUUAGCCACUGACUGCAAAGGCCAACACAUAUACAAUACUGUGUUAGAAGGUUUCCAGAGGAAUAUACUAAGCACCUUUUGUACGAGAUCACCGCAAACUGUUUCAGUAUUGGGACAAGUAAAAGCGGAUGUUGUGUAAUACAAUCAUGCGUGGAUAAUGCUCAUGGUGAAGCAAGAACGCAAUUAUUCUUUGCGAUAGUAGAAAACGCUGUGCAACUUGCUGAAGAUCCUUAUGGAAACUAUGUGGUGCAACAUCUUCUAGAGAUGGAGAUGCCAGAACUCACGAAAUACAUUGUGAGACGGUUCGAAGGCUGUUUCGUGUCUCUUUCCUGCAACAAGUAUGCCAGCAACGUAGUAGAGAAGCUCUUACGGUCGGGAGAUGAAGUAUCAGCGAUUAUUACCAUAGAGUUGCUUCAAAGCCCAAAUGCCUCGAUGCUUUUAGUCGACCCUUACGGAAAUUUUGUCAUUCAAAAUGCAUUGUCAGCCGCGAAGGGAGAGGUGUAUUAUUCUUUGGAGAGAUUUGUUCAAAUUAAUGCAGCAUCCAUGCAAAGCAAUCUUUAUGGGAAAAAGAUCCUUGCUUGGUUUAUGAAGAAGAGGCCUUACAAUGAGAAGAAGUCUUACUAUGGCUAGAUUCUUACAUUUAAAAAUAUAGUGAUGUAUAUUUUGUUGUUUAAUUGUGUGGCUAAUUCGUAGUUUUGCCAUUCAACGGCAUAUUUUUGAUGCAUUCAGCCUCGGAUUCAACCAAGCUUAGCAAUGUAGAGACUAGAGAGUGUUGUACGUACGUUGUUG